rnacentral:rRNA from 1 species
UGGGGAAUAUUGGACAAUGGGGGGAACCCUGAUCCAGCCAUGCCGCGUGUGUGAAGAAGGCCUUUUGGUUGUAAAGCACUUUAAGCGAGGAGGAGGCUACUAGUACUAAUACUACUGGAUAGUGGACGUUACUCGCAGAAUAAGCACCGGCUAACUCUGUGCCAGCAGCCGCGGUAAUACAGAGGGUGCGAGCGUUAAUCGGAUUUACUGGGCGUAAAGCGUGCGUAGGCGGCUGAUUAAGUCGGAUGUGAAAUCCCUGAGCUUAACUUAGGAAUUGCAUUCGAUACUGGUCAGCUAGAGUAUGGGAGAGGAUGGUAGAAUUCCAGGUGUAGCGGUGAAAUGCGUAGAUAUAGGAAGGAACACCAGUGGCGAAGGCGACCACCUGGGCUCAUACUGACACUGAGGUGCGAAAGCGUGGGGAGCAAACAGG